CCCGGUUCCCCCUGGGUGCUCUCCCUGCCGGGGUUUGGCUGCUCUGGGGGUCCGUGCAUAGGAGCAGGGCAGCCCAGGGCGUCCCCAGCUCCUGCUCCCAGCGCUGCCCUGGGCAGGCUCCCCUGUCCCCUCGUUCUGCAGGAAAGGCCAUUUUGGCUGCCAGGGAAGGAGUCUCUCUGCCAGGGGCUGAGUGCUCUGUCCGUCGCUGAGUGACACGGCAGGACACAGCUCGCUGUGUCAGGGACCUUUUCUUCCAUGGGAGGAAUCGAUGGCUCAGACAGUGAGACAAACCACCCACAAAGAGGUCUUGGGCUGCAGCUUGCACGGGCCAAUGGAAACAAAUGAUGCAGGAUUACCAGGGAGCAUCCAGCCUCCGUGGCUGGAGGGGGAUGCGGAGCAGCAGGCAUUCCAGUUCGAAACAGAAGGAUUUUAUCCCCACGUCUGGAGUUGGCCAUCCUGUCUUCCCCAUCCUCCAGCAAGGUCAGCUCAUCCCUUUGGGAGAAGGUCCUGCUGGAAACUGAGGGGUGUCCAUCUCACAGUACCACUCCAGGAGUGCAGUGGAGCUGCACUGGGCAGUGACCCAGCUCUCACCCCAGCUCCUGGGGAUGGAUGGGGCCACCCUCAGCCUCAUGGGUGCUGGAGGCAGGUGAGUGGCACCCAGUCCCAUGCACCCUGUCAAAACCUGGCCGUGCUGCCAGCCUGGAGCUGGGCUGUGGGGCAUGAGGGGCUGUGGGCUCUGGCACACCUCGCUCCUGCCCCGUGCCUGCCUUGUCAGGUCUGAUCAGAAGGAGGAUCAGUCAGCCCCCUUCCUCGCUCUCCAGAUUUAAUUAACGGGCCUUUCAUCUCUACCCUGAAGGAAUCUGCUAUCUUCUGUCUUCUUAAUUAACGUUCAUUAAGCAAAUCAGAAGAACAUUUUCUUCUCUCCGCCUCCAUGGCUUUUAACCCUUGAGGGGUUCCAGGUCUGUACUGGGGCAGAAGAAGGCUCCUGGGCAGGUUGGUGUCAUCACAACCUUGGUCACCACAUGCCAGAAGUGCUUGGACCAAAGUCCUGGAACAGUGGCUGAAGUCUCUCCAGGCACAGAGGACUUCAGGUGAGGUUGGGCUUUGCUACCAGUGGACCACAGCAAGUGUAAGGUAUCUCCUUUGGCAAGGGGAAAACUUGUGCCCCUCACCUGGCAGGAGCCUGGUGAGGGGCUCAUCCAAUCUGGGGUGCAGCUGAAACCCUGGGAAUGUGCAGUUCCUACUCCAGCUGCAGCAUCCCCACCGCUGAGCACAGCAGUGUCACCACCAAUUCCCAUCAAGCUCUGGCCCUGUGGGCCAUCCCCCCACACCCGGUGGGCUGUGCUGGAGGAGGAGGAGGUGACUUUGGGAUACUCCAGCUUUGCCCGAAUCCUACUGCAUUCUGAGCCCUGGUUGUGUGGUGUCAUCACUCCCUAACGUGGAGCCCUCUGUAACAGGGGCAGGGAAAUCCUCUCAUGGAUGUGUGUUGCAUCCCAAGGAGGAGGAGGCAAACCCAUGACGCAAAAGAUUUUUGGUUAGAGCAUGGUGUUGAUAGUCCCAAGGUCAUGGGUUCAGUCCCCAUGUGGGUCAUUCACUUAAGAGUUGUGCUCAGUGAUCCUUUUGGGUCCCUUCCCACUCAGAGUAUUUUAUGAUUCUGUCUCCUGUCUGGAGCUUACAGCCUCAGCACCACGGGAAAAGCAAAACACCUGCAAAACCUCAUCUCUGCAGGAUGCAAAUCCCCUUAAAACUGGUGGUGGAAACGUGCGGGGCAAUUAUUGAGCUGUAAACCCUUCUGUUUCUCCCUGGAGGUUUGACAGUGGGCCGCCCACACCCAGGCAGCUGCUGCACAGCUCCUCGAUGCUGGGAAAUUCACCCUUCCCAGAGGAGCUGGCUCUGGCUGUCAGAGCCUGGGUCAAUAUAUGAUAAUGGGGCUUUGAAACGGCGCUGCUGCGGGAGCUGCUGCCCAGGACUCUGAUUCACAGCUCCCCUCUGGUGCUUUCUCCCGCAGUGUGUAUGGGGAAGGAGAAUAAAAUAAAUAAGAGUAGAAGGGAAGGGGGGGGA
ensembl:lncRNA